UACGAAGGGGGCUAGCGUUGCUCGGAAUUACUGGGCGUAAAGGGCGCGUAGGCGGACAGUUAAGUCAGAGGUGAAAGCCCAGGGCUCAACCCUGGAAUUGCCUUUGAUACUGACUGUCUUGAGUACGGGAGAGGUGUGUGGAACUCCGAGUGUAGAGGUGAAAUUCGUAGAUAUUCGGAAGAACACCAGUGGCGAAGGCGACACACUGGCCCGUUACUGACGCUGAGGCGCGAAAGCGUGGGGAGCAAACAGG
rnacentral:rRNA from 1 species